GGGAUGUUGGCGCAAUGGUAGCGCGUUGGUUUUCGGUCUACCUGGAAUACACCAAAGGUUGCAGGUUCGAGCCCUGUGCAUCUCG